UUAGUCAUUAGUUGAAUACCCUUUUACUAAUGCACUAAUGGAUCUUUAUAUUCCCAGGUUCCAAGGCUAAGAGUGUUACUAUUCCUAAUAUGGUUUAUGAAAUGGAUGAACUUGAGGCUCUUGCAAGAAAUCUUUCAUUUGAGGAUGAAGACCUAGAUGAUGAUCAUGAUGAUGGACCUGAGGCAUCGUUGUAAGCUUGUUGAUGAAGAUCUAGAUGAUGAUAAUGUACCAUGAAUGCUAUGAAUGUUUCUUAUUGUACUUGCUCCGUAAUGUUUUGUGACCUUGCGAACUUGGGACUUGUGG